GCAAGGAUUGGAACUCAAAGGAAUUGACGGGGGUCUAACACUAGUGGUGGAGCAUGUGGUUUAAUGCGAUAAUCCGCGCAAAAUCUUACCCAAUUCUUGACAUAUUGAAAUAGUUAUACAAAUUAAUACGGUUUUUUAUGUACAAUAUUUCUUUACAGGUGUUGCACGACUGUCGUCAGCUCGUGUCGUGAGACGUCUGGUUAAGUCCUGAAACGGGCGCAACUCUUGCUUUUUACGAAGUUUUUACAGAUUAAAAGUUUUUAUCGUAUGAGAAUCUUUUAAAUGCUUAAAAAGUACGGUCAACGAUAAGUUGAAGGAAGGUGAGAAUGAAGUCAAGUCAAUGUGACCCUAAUGAAUUGGGCUACACAUGUGCUACAAUGAAAAUUACAAAAAGUGACAAAAAAGAAAUUUGAGUUAAUCAACAAAAAUUUUCCCAGUUCGGAUUGUAAACUGCAACUCGUUUACAUGAAGUUGGAAUCACUAGUAAUCGCAAAUCAGCACGUUGCGGUGAACAUGUAACUUGGCC
rnacentral:rRNA from 1 species